rfam:Oryza sativa Japonica Group DNA, chromosome 12, cultivar: Nipponbare, complete sequence.
UUUAAGUACAACCAUAAGUUUUCGUGUCUAACUUUGAUCAUCCAUCUUAUUUGAAAUUUUUUAUAAUUAGUAUUUUUUUUUGUUGUUAUGAGAUGAUAAAAGAUGAAUAGUAUUUUACUCGUGACUUAUGUUUUUAAUUUUUUUAAAAAAACUUUCAAAUAAAACGGACGAUCAAAGUUAGGCGCGAAAAACCAUGGAUGCACUUAAA